GGACGCGGGCUGCGGGAGGGAAGGAAGUGGGGGGCUGGGGCCGGCCGGACUGACGCAGCUGUGAUGUCAGAGUCAGGCCGCAGGCGGUGGCCGGCCGGUGCUACUGGUGUGCUCUCGGCUGGCCUGGCCCAGCGCCUCCCCAGGGGGGCCCGCCGCCCCCCUUAACCCCUUCCCGGCCUCCCUUUCCCAGACAGCCAUCCCCCGGGCCUGGCCUUGCCCACAAGAUUCCCAGAUUUCACAACUGGGGCUGGCGCUGAAUCAUGUACAGUAAAGUCCGGGGAGAGAAACUGCUGGCUGCCCGCGUCCCAGGACAGGCCAACCGCCAGGCUGCCCGCCCUCCUGACGCGCUGAGCGACUGCCAGGGAGCCAGCCAGCCGCACGCCGGGCGGCUGACCAGCUUGGGGGCAUCAGGCAGGACACACCACCUCUCUGGGCUGCACUGGGAAUCAGGGGCGGUGUCAUCUUUUGGGGACCUUGAAGCUCUGGAGGUCAGGGGGCAGGGCAUGGUGGCCUCUGCUGACCGGGAGCAAGUCCCUUCACCUCUCUAAAGCACACUUUCCUCAUCUGGAGAAUGCGGGUCAGCAUGGGACUGACCUCACGGGGCCUCUGCGAGGACUGAGCGAGCCGGUGUGCCAACGGCGCCCAGCACAGCCAGUGCCCGCAACCAGUAUUGCCAUUGUCACGUCGAUGCCACUGACCACACUAAGACCUGGGGAAGUUCUUCAGUCCUUCGGUGACACAUCCGUCCCCUGGGAUGUCCACCCCUCCCCUCAGCAUACAGUUAUUCUUAUCUUUUAAAGACUUUUUUAUUACAUCAACAAACAAUUAUUGAGCACCACUGUGUUCGGGGGCUCUACCUGGUCCUGGAGAUGUGACAGCCAACAAAACAGAAACCCCUCUGUUCUCAGGACUCGGGUCCGUGUCCGUGGAGCGGGGAAUGUGAGGUCGUUUCAGAGUUAUGGGGGCUCCGAGGGGAAUACAGCAGAGAGUGUGACCGAGGGAGCCUGGGAGGGCCGCUGAGGAGGCGACAUUAGAACAGAGACCUCAACCAAGAGACGACGCCAGCGGGCAGGGUGUGGGGCACCACGGGCGCAGAGGCGGGGCGCGGGGAGCCGGGGCGGGUUCGGGGUCGGCCCGGCCAGCGCGGCGGGGGUGCGGGGCAGGGGGCUCAGGGGGCUCGGGGGGCUCGGAGGGCGGGCACCAGCCCCCAGCCCGCGCCAGCCCCGCACCCCGCUCUGCCCGCCAGCAGCCGGCCUGGACCUGACCUGCACCUGCUCCCGGCGUCGUCGCGGAGGGCCCGGCCCCGAGGCGCCGGUGAGCCCAGGGGCCCGGGUCAGACCCCACGUGGGCCUCCGCCUCCUGCAGGCCCCGGGCUCUGGCGUCUGCAGCUCAGAGCCUCAGUGUCCCCACCUGUGAGGCGGGCACGCGGCUGCCUCGCGGAGGGGUCAGAGCGGGGAGGAGGGGCUCCGGCCCCAGAACCUGUCCCGCGCUGAGCCGACCCUGCAAGAGGAGAAGCAUCCAGGCAUCCCCGGGGACCAGCUGCGCGUGCACAGCGGGAUCAAGAGCCAGGACGCGGCAGCUGAGGAGGUGAAAUGGGGGCGCUGCACAGCGCCUGCGUGAGUGUGAGCAAUGACCGCAGCCCGCCCUGUGGACGGGCCAGGCUCUCAGCCCCACUGCGCAGACGGAGAAACUGAGGCCCGAGAGGGGAGGAGCGCGGCCCAGGCGUCCGGCAGGGGAGUGGCAGAGAUGCGACUGGAGCCCGGGCGGCUCGCAGGGCCCCGGGUGCGGGGGUCUGGGGGCCGGGACGGCGGUCAAACGCAGAUGUUUACGGCAUGUUGGGCCCCCACCUCCGGAAAGCAGCGGGCCUGGGGUUGCAUCAGAAGCGGGUGCGACCCCUCUCCAGCCUCCGCUCGCUGGGAGUCAUGACCCGCGCGGUCACUACGCCCACCUCCCCGCUUUCAUCAGGUUCCGGAGCUGCCGGCGGUAAUUAACCUUCCCGGCUCCCUCUGAAGUCGGCACUGCGGGCAGACGUGUUAUUAAACCCAUUUUCAAGGUGGGUAAACUGAGGCAGAGCCCUCCGUGGCCUGGAAGCCUGUCGUACCCCAUGACUCAGCAGCUAAAUCAGCCUCCGCUUUCUUCCCACAGGAAGCAGAGGGCCGGCCCCCAGAUGCCCCGCACCCUGAGGGCAGAGCUGCAGGCGGGGGAGCUGGCAGGUCCUGGACACCCCUCGUUCCUGCCCCCUCACCUCUCAGAAGCACAGGAGCACGGGCUUGGGAGCCAGAUGGAAGAGACUGGGAUCUGCUUCUGCUGUGUGACCCUGGGCAAGUCCCUGCCCUUCUCUGUGCCUCAGUUUCCUCCUUGGUAAAACAAGGAUGAUCAGAUCCACUUCUUGGGUUUGUCUGGAGCGAAAAGCACCCAGCUUACCUCUGACAUAUGUCCUCUCCCUCCCCGUGCUCUGGCCAUGCCAGCUUCCUUGCUGUUCCUUGAACACACGACCCACUUCCCACCUCAGGGCCUUUGCAUGUGAAGUGCCCUCGGCCUGGCGUGUCCUUCCUUCACAUCUCCCCAAGGCUGGCUCCUUCUCAUCUUUCUUGGCUCACGUAUCACCUCCUCAACCUACAGUGCCCCCCUCCCCCUGUUUUAUUUUCAUGAAGCGCUUGUGAACAUAACUCAUUAUUUACCUGGCCUGUUUCCUUGUCGGCUCCAGGCAGGGGUUUGGGGCUGUUCCAUUCACAGUGUAUUCCCAGGGCUCCGCUCAGUGUCAGGCACACAGUAGGUGCUCGAGAACAAUUGCUUUCCCCACCUCUCUCCUCGUUAGCUCCAAGUUGAGCAUGAGCUGGCUGUGUGACCCUGGGAACUGCUUUCCCGGGGGGUGGCCUGGGCACCAUCCUCCUGAAGGACUCAGGGAGCCUUGAAAUGCCCGGACCUCAGGCUCGUGCCUCCCCAGGCGACAGGGUGGGGAGCAAGCAGGUAGAGGAGGGGUGACCAGAGCCCCCUGGUGCGACCCGCUGUCCUGCGGCUCCGCCUCCUCCCCUGGGGCCCGGGCUUUAAGGACUCACUGUGGGCAGGUCCUCACCGCCAGCCGCCCCCUCCCUUGGCACGUCUGUCAGCGCCCUUGGGGGAAAGAAUUUGGAAAGGGGAGGAAGAGAAAGGAAGAAAGCCGCCACGAGGGGAUGGUUCUCACACCUGUGUAAAUAAUUUGUCAUCUUAAAACUCGUCAAAUAUGCUCACCUUUAAUGCCUGCUUCUUGGGCUUGUUUUCCUUGGCAAGGCCCCCACGGGAGUGGAAUUUCGGCCCAAGGGAGCCCAAUUGUCAUCUUCUAAGCAUGUUCCCGGGCCGCAGGCUGAGGAGGGCUCUGGCUGAUGCUCCACUUCCGUCCCCAGAAGUUCCAGAACGUUCCUGGGAUUUAUGGAGCAGUUGCCAGUUCUGGAAGCUGUCCCAGAGUUCUGGAAUGUUGGAAUUCAAGCAGCCUCCUGCCCAUUUUCCAGAAGGGGAACAUGAAGCCCAGAGGGGGGAAGGGGUUGGCCUGAGGUCACACAGCAUGCUGGGAUGAGUUAGACUUUCCCAGGAAAAGAUGGCAAGUUACGGACAGGUCAGUGCCCUGUUACACCUGAAUUUUCUACCGGAGAACUUCCUCCUCCCCCAUGUCAGUCCCUGAGGUUGGGUGGGGUGUCCCGGGACCCUGUCUCCAGGGGUGGGCACAUGCCCAAGUCUGGCCCAGCGACUCGCCUGGGGAUGGACACAUGCUAAACCCGCCCAAGGAAAGUGGAUCCUGGGAACUCUGCGAAGGACAUGCAGCGUUUCCGUUGGACUGAGAGAGCCAGUGAAAGCCCGGAGCGUUGGGGGUGUCACAGGGAAAAGCCUGCCUGACAGAGAUCAGCACAGGGCUGAACAGGGCUUGAACCCCUGGAUCUAGCCAUACCUGAAGUCACACACCCUUGGACUUUUCAGUUUCGUGAGCUGCUGCAUUUCCCAUUUUUGCCUGAAAACAGUUUGGGCUGGUUUUCUGUCACUUGCAUACAAAAGGUUCUGACUGACCGUGGGCCUGGAGGAGGGGAAGGGACGAGGGUCUGGGCAGAGGAGGUAACAUGCAUAGUGACCCCAAAGCAGCAACGGCAAGGGACUUGCAAGUGACGGGGAGAAGAAGGAGGAGGCCCCCCAGGGGAGUUUAGGAUGGGUCGGGUGGUCCAGGUGGGAGAAGGGAGUAACUCCAGCAGAAGGAGCGACCAAUGCGAAAGCUUGGAGGGGUGACUAGGUAGUGCCGAGGGACGCAGAGACGCAAACGGCAAAAGUGAGUGCCCUCCUCUGAACUGCACCAGCUAAAUGUGGGCUCCUCUGCUUUGGGAGCUGCGCCCUCCCAGUGCCGCGCCCGUGUCCCUGCCGUGCCCGCCAGCACGCUGUCUCAGACACGUGAGUGCUCUCCCAGUGGGCGAUGGGCGCCCCCGGGGCUGCGUGUCACGGUUUCGCAGGGCGCAGGGACAGAGCACCAGCUGUCGUCCGGGCGCGUGGUGGGUUCUUCCCCUUGCGAAUCUGCCACAGUCCUUCCUUUACGCCAAGGACAGUCUCCGCGUGGCGCUGACCUGUGUCUAACACCAAAUACCUGCUGAUCUUUCUGGAAAGGAGCAGGUCUCGGGCCCCCUGCCUUCGGCACACGGUCGUGUCUAGCAAGACUCUUGGGAGCUUUGUGUGGGGCUGUGCCACACUCCACAGACGCGCUCUGCUUGAUGCACCUUGAACGCUAGCCUGACUUCUGUCACCAUGGGUCAGUGGCACCUGUUUUUGGACUUUAGAUCUGAUGUGUUUCCGGAAUGUCAUGGAAGUGGAGUCCUGCAGGGCAUUGCCUUUCUUCACUCAGCAUCGCGGUUUUGAGAUGUGUUCAUUUCGCUGUGUGUUCUCAGCACGUUUUUCAGUAACAUUCCUUGUUAUCACUGAGCAGCGUUCCAGCGUAUGGACGUACCGCAGCCUGCGUACCCGUUCACCACGUGAGGGAUAUUUGGACUGUUUCCAGUGUUUAGUGAUAUAAUUAAAGCCACUAUGAACAUUUGCAAACAGGUUGUCACGUGAACAUAAUUUUUCUUUAUCUUGGGGAAAGGCUUAGGGGUCAAACUGCUAUGUCAUGCGGUCAAGUACAUGUUUGACUUACUCAGAAACCGCUAACCUGUGUCUGUACCAUUUUGCAUUGCCACCAGCAAUGGGCGAAAGUUUCAGUUGCUUCUCAUCCUCGCCAGCACUUGGUAUUGUCAAUUUUAAAAAAAUUUUAGCCAUCUCAUAGGUGUAUACCGGGAUGACGUCGUGAUGUUAAUUUGCGUUUCCCUGCUGACUAAUGAUGUUGAGCGUCUUUUUACGGGCUUAUUUGCCAUCCGUAUAUGUUCUUUGGUGUAGUAGUGUCUGAUCAAACUUUUUGUCCAUUUAAAAAAUCAGAUUGUUUUCUUAUUCGUGGCCUGGAGGGUUCUUUCUGUAUUCUGGAUCCGAGUCCGUCCUUCGUCAGAUGUGUGAUCUGCGAAUAUUUCCUCCCAGUCUGCCGCUUGUCCUUUUGCCCCCUUAACGGGGAGACCCUGAUAACAUCGUUGGUUUUCAUCAUGAGGAUUUUUCUGGUUAUCUUUGAUUUGCGGCAAGUGUUCUUUGCUUUUUUCAGUUCUAGCGAUAAUAUCAAAUGUUUCCCUUCUAAACAAAUUUAUUUAAAUAGAAAGUUAAGUCAACUUGAAGAAAAACAUUAAGUAACAGUAGGUCUGGAAUGCAAACCGCACAAAAAUCGGGAAGGCCGUUGCUUGAAUAACCAAAGUGCGGACAGUUCCCAUUCGUUCUCUCAACGGUUAUCAACCGAGCGCCUGCCCUGUGCUGGGCCCCGUCCUGGGUGCUGGGGCACAGUGACAAACAAGAGGAAGGGUUUCUGCCCUUUGGGUCAUGGUUUCCCUACCGCAAGCUCCUCGUCAUCCUUCAGAAGCCAACUUGAAAGGCCCUUCCCUGGAAAACUCACGGCACUGUGUUGCAAUUUCCUCUCCCUGCGAGCGUCUUCCCGGGAGGGGAUGUGUCCGGCAGCCUCUGACCCGGUCACGGAGAGCCUGGUGCACAGGUUCUCAGCAAAUAGCGCCUCACGACAUAGACGUGGUCGUGGGACCCGAAGCCCCUCCCCACUGCAGUCUGGCCCCAUGCAGAGCAAGGUCAUUCUCCUGGGCCUCCCCUUCCACUGACAAAGACACCAAGAGAAGACGCCUCCCGGAUCCACCACCUUCAGCUCCCCUCCGAGCUCUCCAUCCAGUGCCCUCCGAGCUCUCCAUCCAGUGCCCGAGGACGCCUUCCCGAGUGACUCAUCGAUCCCACGAACGCAUCCCAGGCAUCCCUUCACUCUGGCCCGGCCCGGGGGACCGUGUCACCCCAGCCUCCCACCACCCCUCCUCCAGCACACCAGCCUGCUCCUGUUCCUCCAACACUCUGAGCUCACUCCCACCCCCGGCCUUUGCAUAUGCUGUCCCUGCUAUCUGGAACCCUCUGUCUCUAGCUUUUUGCAUGGCUGGAUUCUUCUCCACAUUCCAUUCUGAGCUUAAACGACCCCUCCACAGAGGCCCCCCCCAGGCCAAUACUGUCAAACACUCCUUCUACUUUUUAUCCCAUCAUUCCGUUUAUCUUCUUUGUAGCCCCAAAGACUCUCAUUCCAGUUUAUUUCUGUGUUCACUUGUUUCUUGUCUGUGUCCCCCAUUUGAGUGUCAGCACCAUGAGGGAUUCUGGUCUGUCCUCUUGGUCUCCCCAGUGCCUCGCCCAGCACACAGUAGGUCCUCAAUAAACAUUUGUUGAAUGAAUGAAUGAAUGAGGGAGGCCAUGAGCUCUCCCUUCUCAAGACGCACUCAAAGCAGAGUUAGGCCGUCAGCCCAUGUGUCAGGCUCAUUGCCUGAACGGUGGGACCACAGGUCCUCUUCCUGGCCCCCUCUGGCCCCUGUGCCCAGCCCAGUGCUGAGCACUGCCUGCCAAGCCCACCAGCCUUGUGUCCUGCCAGCUGCCCAACCUGGGCCGAGAGGUCCUCCAUCCUCGGAGCCAGCCUGCGACAAAUUGUUCAUGAAUGGUGGGCCGUGGUUGGGGCUGGCGGCGGCUGUGUGGGGUAUGGGGACCCCGACUGAGACCCCAUCAACUCACAGUGUGCAAGAGUCAUUUCAGCUCCCUUCCCAUCCUCCUGAUGGUGCCACAGGGAAGGAAAGGCUGACCGGGGCUUGUGUGUCUUCACCACUUUCCUCCCCCUGUUCUUUCUUUUUAGGAAACAGCAGCCCCAGCGCCAAGCCCCCAGCGGUAGCGGUUUCUGGUUUUGUUUUGCCCCUUUGUGUAAUUGGCUGAAUGUCUCCAAUUUCCAGUGAGCGCCUUGGGUUGGGUUUCCCUGGAAGCAGAACCCUAAGAGAACAAUUUGAAAGCAAGCGGUUCAUUUGGGAGGCGACCCCAGAAAACACUGGUAGGGGAGUGGGGAAGUGAGCGCAGCCAGCGCAGAGCGUUAUGGAGAAGUAAGCGCUCCGGGCUGUGGGACUCAGUCCGCUGUGGGACUCUGGGAGAUAGUGUAGACCGUGCCUUCUGAGUCACCCCCCGGGUGGGGCGGGGGUGGCCGGGGAGCAGCGGGAGGUGUCCAUGCUCUCCUGCCGGCUUUGAUUGAGGGCGGCUCCCUGGAGUGAUGCUUCCCAGCACUUCCAGCUGCCACCCAGGGCCGGGGCCUGGGGGCUGAGAGAAGCCGCCUGGUCCUGGACUUCUGUUUCUAGGGGGGUUUCUGAUUAGUUUCAAUCUGUACUUGUGAUUGGUCUAUUCAGAGUCUCUGUUUCUUCUUGAUUCAGAUUUGGGAGGUUGUACGCGUCUAAGAAUUUAUCCAUUUCUCUAGAUUAUCCAAUUUGUUGACAUACGGGUUUGCGUAGUCUUCUCUUAGGAUCCUUUGCAUUUCUGUGGUGUCUGUUGUGAUGUCUCCUCUCUCAUUUCUGAUUUCGUUUGUUUGAGCCGUCCCCUCCCUCUUUUUUUCUUAGAGAGUCUAGCUAAGGGCUUGUCAAUUUUGUUUAUCUUUUCAAAGAACCAGCUCUUAGUUUCACUGAUCCUUUCUAUUGUUUUUUGUCUCUAUUUUAUUUCAGUUCUUAUUUUAAUUAUUUCCUUCCUUCUACUGACUUUGGGCUCUGUUUGUUCUUCUUUUUCUAGCUCUUUUAGGUAAAGUGUUAGAUUGUUUAUUUGAGAUUUUUCUUGUUUUUGAGGUAGGCCCGUAUUACUAUAAACAUCCCUCUUAGUACUGCUUUUGCUGCAUCCCAUAAGUUUUGAUAUGUUGUGUUUUCAUUUUCAUUUGUCUCCAGGUAUUUUUUUUAUUUCUCCUUUGAUUUAUUUAUUGAUCCAAUAGUUGUUCAGUAGCAUGUUAUUUAGUCUCCACUUUCUCAAAAAAUUAAAAAUAGAAAUACCAUAUGAUCCACUAUUCCACUUUUGAGUAUUUAUCCAAAGAACAUGAAAUCAGUAAUUGAAAAGCUCUAUCCACCCUGUGUUCAUUGCAGCAUUAUCACAAUAGCCAAGACUUGGAAGCAACCCAAGUGCCCAUCAACAGAUGAAUGGAUGAAGAAGACAUGGUGUGUAUGUAUAUAUACUCCUCAGCCAUAAGAAAGGACGAAGUCAUGCCAUUUGUGACAACAUGGCUGGACCUUGAGGGUAUUAUGCUGAGUGAAAUAAGACAGAGAAAGACAAACACCGUAUGCUCUCACUCAUGUGUGGAAGAUACACACGUGGACAAGGAGAAGAGAUUGGUGGUUACCAGAGGGGAAUGGGGUGGGGGGAAGGCAAAAGGGGUGAAGGGGCACAUAUGUAUGGUGAUGGAUUAAAACUAGGCUAUUGGUGGUGAACACCAUGCUGUCUACACAGAAGCUGAAAUACAAUGAUGUACAUCUGGAAUGUGCACAAUGUUAUCGACCAACGUGACCUCAAGAAAAUAAUAAUGAUGAUAAUAAUUAAUAAUAAUGAUAGGAGGGCAGGUGCUGACAGGCGGCUGGAAUCUGGUCUGUGUUCAUGAAAAGUGAGCGGGAGGGGAGAAGGGUGAGGCACUGACAGCAAACGCCUCACCUUUCAUACUGGUUUCUCAUUUAAAGCAAGAAGAAAAUGUUUUCUAUAAGUUUAAAUAAAACUUUACAACUCAAGUUGACUUAGAGAAAGAGAGCGUGUACACAGUGUACGGGGGAAACAUGAAGUGGCAAAUGCUGCUAUUUUUAAGGGUGUUCAAAGCCCUUAACAGGCAGACAGGGCUCCUUUGUGACCCACCAGGACUGGUGUGUUGGGGGUGGUGGAAAGGCCCCCCGUUCCUCCCAGCUUGCCUUCCCCACACCCAGCCACACUGCCCCGGGUUCCUGGGAGCCUUGGAAAUGGGCCAUGAAGCUUGAAGCCCUUUGUGGCUCGGGGUCUGUCAUUAGCAUCUCGAGGCCUGUCUGUUAGCAGUCUCAUGAAAGAGGAAAUGUGCGAAGAAAAUAGCCAAGACAAUUCUGAACAGGAAGAGUCAAGAGGGAGGACUUGUCUAGACAUUAGAAUGUGUGGCAGAGGUACAGAAAAUAAAACUGCAUGGUGUUGGCACAGAAGUGGGCAAACACAUCAAGGGAAUAGGAGAGAGAGCCCAGCACUGACCCAGACGUCACCUGUCCUGCCCAACGGAGGUGAACGGACUUGAAAAGGGGAGGCGUCAGUUAAUGUGGAAUUCUCUGGAUUCUGUCUGGGCUGGGGCAGUGGCUGCCCGACAGGCUCCCCGUCUUUUGGGCCCUUCCCGCUGACACACCUGCAAAGGCUCUAGGGAGACUAACCCUCAAGGACCACACCGACCCCAUGUCCACCCAGGAAAUCUCCAACACAAGAUGAGUUGGCUAACAGGUGACACCCGGGAGGAUGUCACCUGUGGUUCUUUGAUUGUUCUGAGCACCUGGGAAAAGCCCCACUUGGGUGCUGGCAGGCCUUGACAUCCCCCAGAACUUGCUCACCUCCUGUUACAAGGCGGAGCGGGCCUCGGUCCGGAGCCCUGAGCAGGCCUCGGAGUCCAGCUGGAAUUAACACCAUCGCUGUGAGCAACAUUCUGGUUACUUCCCACCGGUUGACAAAAAGAGGAUCGAUAAUGGAGAGUGCGAAGGAGACGGUGGGAAAAUGGCCACACUGAGACCGCUGGUGGGAGUGUAAGCUGGGACGGCCUCUCAGGAAGACAGUGU
ensembl:lncRNA